rnacentral:rRNA from 1 species
CACGUAGGCGGAUUGCUAAGUCAGGGGUGAAAUCCUGGAGCUCAACUCCAGAACUGCCUUUGAUACUGGCGAUCUUGAGUCUGGGAGAGGUGAGUGGAACUGCGAGUGUAGAGGUGAAAUUCGUAGAUAUUCGCAAGAACACCAGUGGCGAAGGCGGCUCACUGGCCCGGUACUGACGCUGAGGUGCGAAAGCGGUGGGGAGACAAAACGA